CUCGAGGCCAGAUCUUUCCGGUUGAUCCCGCCGGACCCGACUGCUAUCGGAUUGGGACUAAGCCAUGCGAGUCAACCCGCAAGGGUGGCGCACGGCUCAGUAACACGUAGUCAACCUACCCAGAGGACGAGGAUAACCCCGGGAAACUGGGGAUAAACCUCGAUAGGUCAUAGCUCCUGGAAUGGGCUAUGGCUCAAAUCUAUAUGGCCUCAGGAUGGGACUGCGUCCGAUCAGGUUGUUGGUGGGGUAAUGGCCCACCAAGCCUAUAACCGGUACGGGCUCUGAGAGGAGGAGCCCGGAGAUGGGCACUGAGACAAGGGCCCAGGUCCUAUGGGGCGCAGCAGGCGCGAAACCUCCGCAAUGGGCGAAAGCCCGACGGGGUCAGUCCGAGUGGCUCCCGCUAAGGGAGUCUUUUGCCAGCUGUAAACAGGCUGGUGAAUAAGGGGUGGGCAAGCCUGGUGUCAGCCGCCGCGGUAAUACCAGCACCCCGAGUGGUCGGGAUGAUUAUUGGGCCUAAAGCAUCCGUAGCCGGUGUAACAAGUCCUCCGUUAAA
rnacentral:rRNA from 1 species